rnacentral:rRNA from 1 species
CACCGCGGUGAGACGAGAGGCUCAAGUUGACAAGUACGGCACAAAGAGUGGUUAGGAGACUAAAAAGACUAAAGUCAAACGCUUCCUUAGCUGUUAUACGCACCCGAAAGUAUGAAGCCCAACUACGAAAGUAACUUUAAUCCCCCUGAGCCCACGAAAGCUAAGAAA